rnacentral:rRNA from 1 species
UGGGGAAUCUUGGACAAUGGGCGCAAGCCUGAUCCAGCCAUGCCGCGUGGAUGAUGAAGGCCUUAGGGUUGUAAAAUCCUUUCGUGGGGACGAUAAUGACGUUACCGACAGAAUAAGCACCGGCUAACUCUGUGCCAGCAGCCGCGGUAAUACAGAGGGUGCAAGCGUUAAUCGGAAUUACUGGGCGUAAAGCGCGCGUAGGUGGUUAGUUAAGUUGGAUGUGAAAUCCCCGGGCUCAACCUGGGAACUGCAUUCAAAACUGACUGACUAGAGUAUGGUAGAGGGUGGUGGAAUUUCCUGUGUAGCGGUGAAAUGCGUAGAUAUAGGAAGGAACACCAGUGGCGAAGGCGACCACCUGGACUGAUACUGACACUGAGGUGCGAAAGCGUGGGGAGCAAACAGGAUUAGAUACCCACGUAGUCCCUGAGCGGGCUGGCAAGGCGCAU